AACGAACGCUGGCGGCAUGCCUAACACAUGCAAGUCGAACGAGACCUUCGGGUCUAGUGGCGCACGGGUGCGUAACGCGUGGGAACCUGCCCUUAGGUUCGGAAUAACUCCCCGAAAGGGGUGCUAAUACCGGAUAAUGUCUUCGGACCAAAGAUUUAUCGCCUUUGGAUGGGCCCGCGUUGGAUUAGGUAGUUGGUAGGGUAAAAGCCUACCAAGGCGACGAUCCAUAGCUGGUCUGAGAGGAUGAUCAGCCACACUGGGACUGAGACACGGCCCAGACUUCUACCGGAUGGAGGAAUGGGGGAUUUUGGAACAUGGGGGGAAGGCUGAACCCGCCAUGACGGGAGAGGGGUUAAGGGCUUUGGGUUGGAAAGCUCUUUUACCCCGGGUGGUAAUGACCGUACCGGGAGAAUAAGCCCCGGCUAACUUCGUG
rnacentral:rRNA from 1 species